ACACUCCUGCGGGAGGCAGCAGUGGGGAAUUUUGGACAAUGGGCGCAAGCCUGAUCCAGCCAUGCCGCGUGCGGGAAGAAGGCCUUCGGGUUGUAAACCGCUUUUGUCAGGGAAGAAAAGGUUCUGGCUAAUACCUGGGACUCAUGACGGUACCUGAAGAAUAAGCACCGGCUAACUACGUGCCAGCAGCCGCGGUAAUACGUAGGGUGCAAGCGUUAAUCGGAAUUACUGGGCGUAAAGCGUGCGCAGGCGGUUAUGCAAGACAGAGGUGAAAUCCCCGGGCUCAACCUGGGAACUGCCUUUGUGACUGCAUGGCUAGAGUACGGUAGAGGGGGAUGGAAUUCCGCGUGUAGCAGUGAAAUGCGUAGAUAUGCGGAGGAACACCGAUGGCGAAGGCAAUCCCCUGGACCUGUACUGACGCUCAUGCACGAAAGCGUGGGGAGCAAACAGGAUUAGAUACCCUGGUAGUCCC
rnacentral:rRNA from 1 species